GGCACCUGUAGUCCUAGCUACUUGGGAGGCUGAAGCAGGAGAAUGGCGUGAACCUGGGAGGCGGAGGUUGCAGUGAGCCGAGAUCACGCCACCGCACUCCAGCCUGGGCAACAGAGCAAGACUCCAUCUCAAAAAAAAAAAAAAAACCCAGGUCCCUUCAAGGUUUUUUUGGCCAUUUUCAACACAAGGUUUCUAACUCAGUCCAUGAUGACUGCUUCCCUUCCAGAUAUCAUAUCUGCAUUCUAGCCAGCAGAAAGAAAAAGAGCAUGCCUCCUCACCUUCAGAACCUGUCCUAGAAGUUACAUACACCAAUGCUGUUUAUUUCCCACUUAGUCAUAUAGCCACUUGUAGAAUUUUUUUUUUUUUUUUUUCUUUUUGGAGACAAGGUCUUGCUCUGUCACCCGUGCAGGGGUACAGUGGCAAGAUCAUGGCUCAUUGCAGCCUCAACCUCCUGGGCUCAAGCGAUCCUCUCACCUCAGCCUCCUGAGUAGCUGGGACUAUAGGCACAGGCUACCACACCCAGCUUAUUUUUUAAUUUUUUGUAGAGAAGGGGUUUCGCUAUGUUGCUUAGGAUGGUUUCAAACUCCUGGACUCAAGCAGUCCAUCCACCUCACCCUCCCAAUGUGCUGGGAUUACAGAUGUAAGCCACCGUGCCCAGGCAGAAUUUUCAAAGGGGCAAAUAUAGUCUUUAUUACAGGAAGGUGGGUGUAAAUGUUAAGGGUUCUGUUAUUGCAGAAGAGGAGACAGACACUGGAAAACAACUCAUUUAUAGCUUCUACAACCAUUCUUUGUCUUCUGUUCCUUUCAAUUAUAGCUCAUUUAUUUUCAUUACAUUGUGGGUUUUGGAGCAACUGAUUCUCCAAGGAAUUUCAUCUUUUAGGGAAAUCCCUUCUUUGAAUGAAAUAGUCUUCAGAAGUGUAAACAAAAUAUAUGAAAGCAGGGCUGCUUUGGUUGGCAGUUGGGAUGGUUGAGGGAGAGUCUUGCUCUUUUCACCACCUUUACUGGCUUCUCUCCUCUGUCCCUUCACCCCCUCCUAUGCCUAAGGACUGUUUUAACAACAGAGCUUGAAAAUAUAGCAGUUUCCCCAUUUACUUACCACUUUUAAUUUUCAAUUAUAUUAGAUUACUGAGUAGCUUAAAUUAGUUUUUAAGCUCAGUUUGUAGGUAUUUUUCUGCCAAAGAUAAUUUUCUGUAAGGGGUAACUUACUUUUUUUUUCCAUCUGGAAAUUUAAAGACAUAGUUUGGGCCAGGCGCAGUGACUCAUGCCUGUAAUCCCAGCACUUUGGGAGGCCGAGGCCAGCAGAUCACCUGAGCUCAGGAGUUCGAGACCACCCUGGGCAACAUGGUGAAACCCCAUCUCUACUCAAAUACAAAAAAAAAAAAAUUAGCCAGGCGUCGUGGCACUUGCCUGUAGUCCCAGCUACUCGGGAGGCUGAGACACGAGAAUCACUUGAACCCGGAGGUGGAGGUUGCAGUGAGCCAAGAUCAUGCCACUGCACUCCAACUUAGGCUACAGAGUGAGACUCCGUCUCAAAAAAAAAAAAAAAAUAGUUUGAAUAGAAUAGUCUGGUUUAGGAAUACCACAUCAGGGUUAUCAAGUCUUAAAAUAAAAAAACAGUCUUGCAGGAUCUAGGGCCAGGGAAUUGAACUGAAUUUAU
rnacentral:lncRNA from 1 species